UUAUAAAAAAAAAAACUUAACCUUAGGUAUACCGGGUUUAGGCCACCACUUAUAUAAUUCUGUUUUACCGACGGCGACUCCACUCAUUGGACAAAAUGGCGUCGUACUGACCUGUCAAAGUCAAAAACUAUAAGAUUUGAUACUUUUCAUCCAGAAAUUUUUGGUCCCCCAAGACGAAGUUCAGCCCUACAAACGAUGAGACUUGCCUCACGACAUACUUGGAGAACAAAUUUCAAGUAUCAGUUUAUUAGAUAUAAAAUUACUCGGCUAC